rnacentral:rRNA from 1 species
AUUGAACGCUGGCGGCAGGCCUAACACAGGCAAGUCGAACGAGUGGCGGACGGGUGAGUAAUGUCUGGGAAACUGCCUGAUGGAGGGGGAUAACUACUGGAAACGGUAGCUAAUACCGCAUACCAUCGGAUGUGCCCAGAUGGGAUGAGCUAGUAGGUGGGGUAAAGGCUCACCUAGGCGACGAUCCCUAGCUGGUCUGAGAGGAUGACCAGCGACGAUGGAACUGAGAAACGGUGCAUACUCUGACGGUAGGGAGAAGUGGGGAAUAGUGAACAAUGGGCGUGAGCCUGAUGCAUCCAUGCCGAGUGUAUGAAGAAGGCCUUCGGGUUGUAAAGGACUGUCAGCGGAGAGGCGUUAUCUGCAGAAGAAGCACCUUCUAACUCCGUGCCAGCCGCCGCGGUAAUUC